AUUGAACGCUGGCGGCAGGCUUAACACAUGCAAGUCGAGCGGAGUGAUGGUGCUUGCACUAUCACUUAGCGGCGGACGGGUGAGUAAUGCUUAGGAAUCUGCCUAUUAGUGGGGGACAACAUCUCGAAAGGGAUGCUAAUACCGCAUACGUCCUACGGGAGAAAGCAGGGGAGCACUUGGGACCUUGCGCGAAUAGAUGAGCCUAAGUCGGAUUAGCUAGUUGGUGGGGUAAAGGCCUACAAAGGAGACGAUCUGUAGCGGGUCUGAGAGGAUGAUCCGCCACACUGGGACUGAGACACGGCCCAGACUCCUACGGGAGGCAGCAGUGGGGAAUAUUGGACAAUGGGGGGAACCCUGAUCCAGCCAUGCCGCGUGUGUGAAGAAGGCCUUAUGGUUGUAAAGCACUUUAAGCGAGGAGGAGGCUCUUUUGGUUAAUACCCAAGAUGAGUGGACGUUACUCGCAGAAUAAGCACCGGCUAACUCUGUGCCAGCCGCCGCGGUAA
rnacentral:rRNA from 1 species